rnacentral:rRNA from 1 species
CGGUACUCAGUUCGGAUUGAAGGCUGAAAUUCGCCUUCAUGAAGCUGGAAUUGCUAGUAAUGGCAGGUCAGCAUACUGCCGUGAAUACGUUCCCGGGCCUUGUACACACCGCCCGUCACACCAUGAGAGUUGGGAAUACCCGAAGCCUGUGAGCUAACUGUAAGGAGGCAGCAGUCGAAGGUAGAAUCAAUGAUUGGGGUGAAGUCGUAACAAGGUAAC